rnacentral:tRNA from 1 species
GUCUCCGUAGCUCAGUGGAUAGAGCGCUUGCCUCCGGAGCAAGAAGUCGCAGGUUCAAGUCCUGCCGGGGACA